GUGGCCUUCAAGGAUGAAGGAGGAAUCACUGUUGUUGAUUUAAGUCGCGUUUUCAGAAGAUAUUGCUGAUGCCAUGGAUGUACCGAGUCCUUUUGGCACUGCAUUAAGUAUGGCAGCUGCCUUAAAGACAGACCAUGAAGCCAGUGGUAGGGAACUGGUGCAUAUACUGCUUGCUGCUGGAGUUGAUGCUACUGUGCAAGACACCCAGCAUGGGCGGAUAGGAUAAGCUGGAUACUCCUUUUUUAUGGCUUGGAAAUGGACUCAUCUUUAUUUAAUCAAGUGUUGUACUAUUGAGAAGAUUAUCUUUGAAUUCCAUCUGAUGUCGCGUUAUCUGCGUUCUGGUAUAUUUCUUUCACAUUACUCAUAUGUUGUAUUUUUUACUUGAUUUUGUAGGCUAGAUCUUGGUCUCUUAAGGGAUCACUCAAGUUUAAAAAUGUGUUCGUUUAUAGUGAACUUUGGGAUGGUAUAUUUCAAGGUUUUUUUUUAUAUAUAACAUAGUUUGUAAAUGAAUUUUAUUAUUUUCAACUCUGUUCUAGAAUGGGUUCUAUAUUGACAUGGCAAGUUUUUUAACUGUUAUCCAGGUACUUGCAACAUGAGAGUU